rnacentral:rRNA from 1 species
GAUGAACGCUGGCGGCGUGCUUAACACAUGCAAGUCGAACGGAAAGGCCAUGACAGAGUGGGGUGCGCGAGAGGCGAGGGGGUGAGUGACACGCGAGUAACCUACCCGUGGCUUAGGGAUAACUUCAAGAGGGUGAGGAGAAUAAAGGAUCGGAGAAUCUGGUACAAGGGGAGGGUAGGACAGUUUCGGCGGUGUGGAAUGGAGGCGCGGCUUAUCAGCUUGUUGGGGGGGUAGUGUCUUACCAGGGCAUGGGCGGGUCGACGGCCCGAGAGGGUGGCGGGCCACGUUGCGACUGAGCUACGGCCCAGACCCCUACGCGACGCAGCAGUGGGGUAUAUUGCACAAUGGGCUGAAGCCUGAUGCAGCAACGCCGCGUGCGGUAUGACGGCCAUCGGGUUGUAAUCCGCUUUCGCCUAUGACGAAGCGUGAGUGACGGUAAUGGGUAAAGAAGCACCGGCUAACUACGUG